rnacentral:rRNA from 1 species
AAUCAACGCUGGCGGCGUGCCUAACACAUGCAAGUCGAACGCGAAAGGGGGCUUCGGCCCUGAGUAGAGUGGCGAACGGGUGAGUAACACGUGGGUGAUCUACCUCUGAGUGGGGGAUAAACGUUCCGAAAGGAACGCUAAUACCGCAUGACGUUCCGGGUUUGGAGACCUGGAAACCAAAGCCGGGGACCGCAAGGCCUGGUGCUUGGAGAGGAGCCCGCGCCUGAUUAGCUAGUUGGUGAGGUAAGGCUCACCAAGGCAACGAUCAGUAGCCGGCCUGAGAGGGCGGACGGCCACACUGGGACUGAGACACGGCCAGACUCCUACGGGAGGCAGCAGUGGGGAAUUGUUCGCAAUGGGCGCAAGCCUGACGCAGCGACGCCGCGUGAGGGAUGACGGCCUGGUGUAAC